rnacentral:tRNA from 1 species
AGUCCUGUAGCUCAGUAGCUAGAGCACUCGCCUCGUAAGUGAGAGACCUGGGUUCAAUUCCCAGCAGGGCAA